rnacentral:rRNA from 1 species
CCUACGGGGGGCAGCAGUGGGGAAUAUUGCACAAUGGGCGCAAGCCUGAUGCAGCCAUGCCGCGUGUGUGAAGAAGGCCUUCGGGUUGUAAAGCACUUUCAGCGGGGAGGAAGGCGGUGAGGUUAAUAACCCCAUCGAUUGACGUUACCCGCAGAAGAAGCACCGGCUAACUCCGUGCCAGCAGCCGCGGUAAUACGGAGGGUGCAAGCGUUAAUCGGAAUUACUGGGCGUAAAGCGCACGCAGGCGGUCUGUCAAGUCGGAUGUGAAAUCCCCGGGCUCAACCUGGGAACUGCAUUCGAAACUGGCAGGCUAGAGUCUUGUAGAGGGGGGUAGAAUUCCAGGUGUAGCGGUGAAAUGCGAAGAGAUCUGGAGGAAUACCGGUGGCGAAGGCGGCCCCCUGGACAAAGACUGACGCUCAGGUGCGAAAGCGUGGGGAGCAAACAGGAUUAGAUACCCCUGUAGUC